rnacentral:rRNA from 1 species
AGCAAUCUGCCUUUGGAUGGGGGAUAACAGCCGGAAACGACUGCUAAUACCGCAUGAUGCAGCGAGACCGCAUGAUUUUGCUGCCAAAGAUUUAUCGUCCAAAGAUGAGCUCGCGUCUGAUUAGCCAGUUGGCGGGGUAAUGGCCCACCAAAGCGACGAUCAGUAGCCGGACUGAGAGGUUGAACGGCCACAUUGGGACUGAGACACGGCCCAGACUCCUACGGGAGGCAGCAG